rnacentral:rRNA from 1 species
GACGAACCGUGACAACGUUAGUUCGGAAUCACUGGGCAUAAAGGGCGCGUAGGCGGCUUUCUAAGUCAGGGUGAAAUCCGGCAGCUCAACUGUCGCAGUGCCUUUGAUACUGGAGAGCUCGAGGGAGGUAGGGGUCUGUGGAACUUCCGGUGGAGCGGUGAAAUGCGUUGAUAUCGGAAGGAACGCCGGUGGCGAAAGCGACGGACUGGAUCUCUUCUGACGCUGAGGCGGCGAAAAGCCAGGGGAGCAAACGGG